GAUGAACGCUGGCGGCGUGCUUAACACAUGCGAGUCGAACGGUGAAGGCGGAGCUUGCUCUGCUGGAUCAGUGGCGAACGGGUGAGUAACACGUGAGCAAUCUGCCCCUGACUCUGGGAUAAGCGCUGGAAACGGCGUCUAAUACUGGAUACGAGCUGCGAAGGCAUCUUCAGCAGCUGGAAAGAAUUUCGGUCAGGGAUGAGCUCGCGGCCUAUCAGCUUGUUGGUGAGGUAAUGGCUCACCAAGGCGUCGACGGGUAGCCGGCCUGAGAGGGUGACCGGCCCCACUGGGACUGAGACACGGCCCAGACUCCGACGGGAGGCAGCGGUGGGGAGUAUUGCGCAGUGGGCGAGAGCCUGAUGCAGCGGCGCCGCGUGAGGGACGACGGCCUUCGGGUUGUAAACCUCUUUUAGCAGGGAAGAAGCGAAAGUGACGGUACCUGCAGAAAAAGCGCCGGCUAACUACGUG
rnacentral:rRNA from 1 species